GACGAACGCUGGCGGCGUGCUUAACACAUGCAAGUCGAACGAAGUGGCGAACGGGAGAGUAAUACGUGGGUAACCUGCCCUCCUUUUUGGGAUAAGCCUUGGAAACGGGGUCUAAUACCGAAUAAAGGGGGAGGGGCUGGGGGCCGUUUAGCUGGUUGGUGGGGUGGUGGCCUACCAAGGCGGUGACGGGUAGCCGGCCUGGGAGGGUGCCCGGCCAGAUUGUGGGUGAGAAGCGGACCGGAAGCCUACGGGAGGCAGCACUGGAGGCUGUUGUACAGUGGACGGAAGCCUGGUGCAGCAACGCCGCGUGGGGAAUGAAGGCUUUCGGGUUGGAAACCUCUUUCGCUAUCGAACGAGUAGGUAGAGAAGAAGCGCCGGCUAACUACGUGCCAGCAGCCGCGGUAAUAC
rnacentral:rRNA from 1 species